ACCAUUCCAAUGUUUCAAAAUCCAUUCAAGUUUAAGUGAUACAAUCAAAAAGGCCAAAACUAAAACUACAAGAAAUUAUAUUUAAUUAAGUUACUAAUCCAUGAUUUCCUCAUACCACAGCUUGGCCUUACCUCACAAUACAACACAAGGAUAAAACACUUUACCCUUUGCAAAAGGAGGGUUAGGAGACUAAUAUCAACAAGUUAACCCCCACAAUAAGACACUAAUCUAUAUUAAGCUAGCAAAAAAGUUUGUCUCAUAAUAUUUCAAUCUAAUUGAUGGCAUUUGACCUUUAUCCAAAUAGAAAGGCCCUUUUGCCCUUGCUGGAAGAUGUUGAAAGGAGUCGAAAGAAAUUUUUUUUUGACUGUUCAUAGCCUGUUUUACCAGGUGAUCCGCUACAUCGUUAGCCUCUCUAAAGUAGUGAGUUGCUUUAACAUUAGCUUGUUUCAUUCUUUGUUGUAUCUCCUCAAUGAUGAAAUUCAGCAUGUAGUUGGAUUACUGGUUGUUCAAAAUCAUAGGAAAUAGGUUCAAAGAGUCUCUCUUUGGUGAAAUUCUUCAGAUUUUUCAAAAUGCAGAGGCUCUUAGUCCAAAACUGGCAGCCUUAGCUUCUGCUUCUGUGAUGCUGCUACCACUCGAAGGUGAGGAGAAAGCGAAGAUGAGAUUGCCUCUAUCAUCCCUCAAAACUCCCCUCAUACCAAAUUUUCCACUAGCUGAGCAGUAGCUUCCGUCAGUUUUCAAUUUAAUGACGCCAUUUUCAGGGAACUUCCAGCAUACAAUAGAAAGGUUUGAGGCAGGUUUCAGCUUCACAAAUUUUUCACAAAGAGUGAUCCAAAGUUAUGUCGAACCAACUUUUGGAUAGCUUUAGCAAUUGUACUCUGAAUGCUGCACCCAAUGAGUUGGAUCAUCAUAUAUCUGUUGAGAUUCCUUAAGCCUCCAUAAUUACUACGCUCGGACCUUUGAUUCUAAAUCUCCAAGCAGAUAAGGCCUGGUAUAGUUUGAAGAACUAGCGUGUCGGUGGAGUUAUUUGAUUUUUGAUUCCACCAGUUGUAAGUUCUGAUUGCCAGUGGCCCUCCAAAGUGCUUCCACACAUAUUGAGCUGCCUCUCCAUGAAGAAAAACAUGUUGCAUUUGAUUUUCAAUUUAGGAAGAGAGCAGCAGUUGCAUAGAGUAUCCUUCAGAAUACCAAAUAUGCUAAUGACUUAGUCAAAGGAAAAUUUUCACUGCCAGAAUUUCCAAACGAAAAAUGAAAUCUUAAAAGGAAUGUUGGAGUUCCAUACCUGAUCAAUAUUGUGGUCUGUUAGAAUAUUUCCCAUCUUCUGUGAGGUCCCAAAAGACCUUAUCUUGAGUGUCAUACUUGCCAAUUCCAAUGGUCUUGAUAUAUUGAAUUGUGCUAUCUCAUAGGAUGUUCUGCAUCUUUGCAUUAUCCCAAGUUCCAUUGGUAAUGAAAUGUCUUACUAGAGUCUCGGUAUUUUUCUCUGUUUCAUGGUAAUCAUUGGCUAGAGGACCUUUGCUACUCCAGUUGUCCCACCAAAAACUACAAUUUCCAGAAGGGUAGUAAUCAGAAAAGAAAAUUGUGGAGAUAGUAUAAACCAAGUAUUGGUGUUGUCAAAGACUCAGAAGCGAGGUGCAAAACAGUUCGAGUGCUUCACCCUCACUUAGUUGGCGCUUCAGUGCAGCCACAAAGGUACUAAAGCAUACACCUUAUCACCAAUGGGCUUUAUCCUUGCACGUAAAUUUCUAAAUUCUUUUAUCCUUACUAUAAUUUUCAUUUGUACAAUAAAUUUCUAAGUGCAAUAAUUUGGUUUCACAAGAAUGGUUUUGAUCUCAAUCUGAUUAGUUAUACACUUCUGAUUAAAGGAUAUUCAACUUUUGGCGAUCUUGUAGAGGUUGUUUAAGGAGAUAGAGCCAAAUUUUCAUUUAUACACCUCCAUAAUUAGUGGUUAGAGUAAGUUAGGUAAUGUUAUGAAGGAAUUUUCAACGUUUGUUGAAAUGGUGGAGAGAGGCCUCAUUCCUGAUGGUCACACAUAUGGAGCUUUGAUAAAUGGCUUCUGCAAGGAGCUGAAGUUUUACAAAAUGAGAUGCAAGGCAAGGACAUUAGCAUAGACCGGGUCAUAUUUAAUACGAUGAUGGAUGGUUAUUGUAAGCAAGAUAAUGUGGAUGAAGCACUGAGGCUACAUACAAUUAUGGAGGGUGAAGGACAUCAGCCUGAUGCAAAUGCUUACAAUAUAAUUGCUACGAGCCUGCUUAAGCUAGAAUUGUAUGAUGAAGCAAAAAUGUUGUUGCUCUCAAUGGUGGAUCGAGGUGUAGCUCUAGAUACAAUUAGUUAUACAACUUUGAUCGAUAUUUAUUGCAAGGAGGGAAAUUUUGUGGAAGCAAAAAGGGCACUUAUUGAGAUGGAAACUAAGGCAAUUAAGCCUAACACGGCAACAUACACUCCACUGGUAGAUGGUUAUUGCAAGCUGGGAAAAAUUGUUGACGCAAAAAGGAUACUUAGGGUGAUGGAAACUGAAGGAGUUAAACCUAACACAACAACAAACAGUGUCUGUGCCCUGAUAGACACUUAUUGUAAGCAAGGAAAUUUCAUCGAAGCAAAAACGACAUUUAGUGAGAUUGGAACUAAGCCUAACACAAUAAUAUACACUGCCCUGAUAGAUGGUUAUUGCAAGGUGCGAAAUCCUGCUAAAGCUGAAAAGGAACUUAUUGAGAUGGAAACUAAGGGAGUUAGCCUAACACGGUAACGUAUACUGCCAUGAUAGAUAGUUGUUGCAAGGUGGGAAAUAUUGCUAAAGCAAUAAAGGUACUUAUUGAGAUGGAAACUAAGGGAGUUAAGCCUAACACAGUAACGUACACUGCCCUGAUAGAUGGUUGUUGCAAGUGGGAAAUAUUGCUAAAGCAAUAAAAAUACUUAUUGAGAUGGAAAAUAAGCCUAACGCAAUUACUUACAAUGCUCUGAAGAUGGUUAUUGUAAGAAAGGUACGAUGAAAGAAGGUUUGAGAUGGAUACUAAGGGAGUUAAACCUAACACAAUUACUUACAAUGCCCUGAAGAUGGUUAUUGUAAGAAAGGUACGAUGAGAGAAGAUUUAAGGAUUGUCAUGAUGUCCAUACAUACACCUCUUAUAUUACAUUGAGAAUACAUAUCAGGAAAAGUAGAUGUUGCUUUGAAGCUUUUCAUCGAGAUUCCUACAAAGGGUUUAGUUCUGGAUGUGGUGAUUUUCAGAACGAUGAUUUCUGGCCUAUCAAAAAAUGGCAAAUCAAAUGAAGCCUUCAGAUUAUACAAUCUGAUGAUAGAGGCAAGCCUAACACUCGGUGUUGUUACAUACCAUGCACUUGUGGAUAUACUAACUUGUAAGUCAUUAAUUUCACAUAAGUCAGACCUAGCUAAUUGGAGGCAUAACAAAUUGUUUAGCACUUCUUCAUGGUGUUUUACUUGAGCAAACUGAAUUAUAUGGUGCAGGACAUCCUGCAGAAAUUUGGUGUUCCUAGCUUGUUACUGCAAAUCUUAGGUGUUGUCCAUGGACAUUGUCUGCCAUAAACUCAAGGUUGAUAGCGAUUUGAGACCCAAGAAAGAGCAAAACUGCAGCUCAGAAUUUAGCAGCUUGAUUUACUUCAUUUAGACAAUGAUCUAAGAAAACUGGAGAUAUAUAGCCUUAUGACUCUGUAAGUAUGCAAAUGACAUUACGAUAUAAAACUUGCUAUUAUUUGAAUCAACAUACUGUUGCCUUAAUAAAAAAUAUUUGAAUCAACCAUGAGAUUAAAUAACUGUGGGCUUUAAAGAUAAAUAUUGUUCAUUAUGAUGGGAAUUUACUUGCUUAGUGUGUAAUUUCAACUUUUGAGGCAUUUGGUUCAAAAUGUUCCGCUACAUGUUCAUUCUUAAAGCAACAGUAUUGCUUCUUAGGUCGUCUAGUACAUUAUUCUCUUGAAAAUGGAAGAACCAGAAUAAAAGAAGUGCGUUACUCUGGAGAUGUAUUACAAAUUUUAGGUUUUGUUACCUUUUUGGUUGAGUGGCCUAGCUUCUAAUCAUUUUUAUACGGUUAUAUGACCUAAAUUUUAACAUGUAAUAUAGAAGCUGGAUCCUUUUUAUGGCGGUCAUGUGAUUUAAUAGUCAGUUACCUUCAUUAGGAAGAAGAAGAAAAACAAAGUGACUACCUUGUUCCUUUUAUCAUUUUCUUGGAGUUCCAAUACAUAUAACUUCUUGCAGGGUGGGUCAAUUUACACCAGAACAAUCAUUUUUUGAAAGUCUUAACAAAAUUUUGCAAAGAAAGACUCUACUAGUCUUAUCUUGCCUACAAUACGAGAUUGACAACUAUCCCACAGGCCUGCCAUAGAUUUCUCAGUUAGUUGUUGCCUUGUAAAAUACUUUGGAUCAAGUUAUAGAAAACUUCCUUCCACUGCAGUAAGCCAGUACCUAACGUGUUUGAUCAAUUUCUGGACCAAUUCUUAAUAGUCCAAAAUCAAAAACUUUAGCCCUGAGAUUUUUAUCAAGCAAUAGGUUUGGAGAUUUGAUGUCAAAUCGGAUAAUUGUCUGGUGAAAAGUAUGAAGAUAAUGAAGUCCUCUGAGAGUUUCAGGCCUUUGCGUUCAAAUUUGGAAGGUCUGAGACAUACAAAUAAUCCUUAAAGAGUUCCAUUCACCAUUGUCAUAAGUAAUAAUCUUCUCAUUCUUUUCAUCGCAGUACCCAAUGAUAUACCUUUGCCAUUUUCCAACCUUAGUGAUACAUGUAUAUCCUACCUAUAUGUAGCAUCUAGAAUAGGUAACCACUCUACUUUAGUGUUACAUAAGACUCCUAUAAGAACAGAAGAUUACCUAAAUGAGUGUCUGGUUUCAUUUCAAUAUUCUAAAUCUGAUAUAGGGCAAAUUCAUUUUUUGCCGCCUCCGUAGCAAAAUUACAUAAUUAAAACACUCCUUCAAUCUGUGGCUAUAUACUGAGGUUAAGUCCUUAAUUUUCUCUCGAUACUUUAUUUGCAUUGAACUUCAUCCUUUAAUGUGGUUUCAAUAUUUGCUCGGCCUUUAUACGGGCUACACAGUUUAAAUUGCUCCUAUAACUCGAAAGUUCAGGCCAUCUCUUUGAAGUUCUUGACAAAUCAGGAUAUAGCGUAUAUACUAGAUUAUGUUGGCUACAUUGCACUAGGAUGAUCCCUCUAUCUAUUCAUACAUUAAUCCACAAAAUUAUUACAUGUCUACAUAAACUAGGUAUUUCUGUAGAGUUUAGCACUCUGUUUCAUCUGUCAAAAAUUGAAGCACCAGAUAACUAUACUUAUUUGUAUUGUUUGAUUGAUGUACAGUGAGUAAAUCUAUAUCUCCACUCAAAAGUUUAUAUUAUGUCCUCUGAUGCAGUAACUUCAAAGACAUUUCUGCAUUCAUAUGAGGACCAUUUUAGCUGCAUGUGCUCGAUCAUCAGUGGAGUACUAUGAAGUUCUCCUUCUGCAUUCCUCAUUUUCCUUACAAAGACUCAAGUCACCAACUUUCCUCUUUUUCUGAAUUUGUGAAGACAAUUCGUAUCAGUCUGUUGAUACACUUAGCUUUUUCAGAUAGAGAGAAGAUUCAAUUACAGUUGAGUGGAAUGGGGAGUUGUAAACCUUGAAGAGAUUGUUGAAAGAGAAGUGUUGACGAAGAUACUGAGCUAUGAAAACGGCGAAAAUUUUCUCUCUAUCUGAAAAAGUUAAGUGUAUCAACACACUGAUACGAAUUAUCUUCACAAAUUCAGAAAAAAAGAGAAAAGUUGGAGACUUUGAGUCUUUGUAAGGAAAGUGAGGAAUGCAGAAGGAGAACUUCACAGUACUCCACUGAUGAUCGAGCACAUGCAGCUAAAAUGGUCCUCAUAUGAAUGCCAGAAAUGUCUUUGAAGGUACUGCAAAUUGCAUUAAAGGAUAUAAUCUAAACUUUUGAGAGGAGAUAUAGAUUUGCUCACUGUACAUCAAUCAAACAAUACGAAUAAGUAUGGUUAUCUGCUGCUUCAAUUUUUGACAAAUGAAACAGAGUGCUAAACUCUAUAGAAAUACCUAGUUUAUGCAGACAUGUAAUAAUUCCGUGGAGCAAUGUAUGAAUAGAUAGAGGGAUCAUCCUAGUGCAAUGUAGCCAAAAUAAUCUAGUAUAUACAUUAUAUCCUGAUUUGUCAAGAACUUCAAAGAGAUGGCCUGAAUUUUCGAGUUACAGGUGCAAUUUAAACUGUGUAGCCAGUAUAAAGGCCGAGCAAAUAUUGAAACCACAUUAAAGGAUGAAGUUCAAUGCAAAUGGAGUAUCGAGAGAAAAUUAAGGACUUAAGCUCAGUAUAUAGACACAGAUUGAAGGAGUGUUUUAAUUAUGGCCGAAGGAAGAUUUCUGAAUAUUUACCUAAAUAAUCACACUAAAGUCUAGGCAAAGUCGUGUGGACAACAAUGGAUUGAAAAAAAGAAUAUUAUCGCAAAAGUCAAACUAAAAACUGAUUCCAAGGGCUAGGGGGAAUGGGUUGUUCCCUUGGAAGAUCUCGUCUUUAGUGAGAGACAUUAUUCUAUUAGGAAAUGAGAUGCAAUUAGUUUCGUUUAUAAAUUCUAAUAAGGCAAUGUACUAGAUGAUGUUCUAGCUAACGAUGUCGUUGAUGCUCAAUAAUAUCUUUUAUUUAUGUAAUUUUGCUACGUAGGCGGCAAAAAAUGAAUUUGUCAUAUAUCAGAUUUAGAAUAUUGAAAUGAAACCAGACACUCAUUUAGGUAAUCUUCUGUUCUUAUAGGAGUCUUAUGUAACACUAAAGUAGAGUGGUUACCUAUUCUACAUGCUAGAUGCUACAUAUAGGUAGGAUAUACAUGUAUCACCAAGGUUGGAAAAUAGCAAAGGUAUAUCAUUGUGUACUCCGACGAAAAGAAUGAGAAGAUUAUUACUUAUGACAAUGGUGAAUGGAACUCUUUAAGGAUCAUCGGUAUGUCUCAAACUUUCCAAAUUUAAAUUUGAACGCAAAGGCUUGAAACUCGCAUAGGAUCAGAGGACUUCAUUAUCUUCAUACUUUGCAGCAAGCAAUCAUCCGCUUUGACAUCAAAUCUCCAAACCUAUUGCUUGAUAAAAAUCUCAGGGCUAAAGUUUUUGAUUUUGGACUAUCAAGAAUUGGUCCAGAAAUCAAUCAAACACGCUAGGUACUGGCUUACUGCAGUGGAAGGAAGUUUUCUAUAACUUGAUCCAGAGUAUUUUACAAGGCAACAACUAACUAAGAAAUCCAUGGCAGGCCUGUGGGGAUAGUUGUCAAUCUCGUAUUAUAGGCAAGAUAAGACUAGAGUCUUUGCAAAAUUUUGUUAAGACUUUCAAAAAAUGAUUGUUCUAGUGUAAAUUGACCCACCCUGCAAGAAGUUAUAUGUAUUGGAACUCCAAGAAAAUGAUAAAAGAACAAGCUAGUCACUUUGUUUUUCUUCUUCUUCCUAAUGAAUGAAACUGACUGUUAAAUCACAUGAUAGCCAUAAAAAGGUGAUCCAGCUUCUAUAUUACAUGCUAAAAUUUAGGUCAUAUAACCGUAUAAAAAUGAUUAGAAGCUAGGCCACUCAACCAAAAAAGUAACAAAACCUAAAAUUUGUAAUACAUCUCCACCAGCAUCUCCAGAGUAACAAACUUCUUUUAUUCUGGUUCUUCCAUUUUCAAGAGAAUAAUGUACUGGACGACCUAGGAAGCAAUACUGCUUUAAGAACGAACAUGUAGCGGAACAUUUUGAACCAAAUGCCUCAAAAGUUGAAAUUACACACUAAGCAAGUGAAUUCCCAUCAUGACUUCGUAAUGAACAAUAUUUAUCUUUAAAGCCCACAGUUAUUUAAUCUCAUGGUUGAUAUUUCAUGUUGAUUCAAAUAUUUUUUAUUAAGGUAACAGUAUGUUGAUUCAAAUAAUAGCAAGUUUUAUAUUGUCAUCUGCAUACUUACAGAGUCAUAGGGCUAUAUAUCUCCAGUUUUCUUAGAUCAUUGUCUAAAUGAAGUAAAUCAAGCAGCUAAAUUCUGAGAUGCAGUUUUGCUCUUUCUUGGGUCUCAAAUCGCUAUCAACCUUGAGUUUAUGGCAGACAAUGUCCAUGGACAACACUAAGAUUUGCAGUAACAAGCUAGGAACUCCAAAUUUCUGCAGGAUGUCCUGCACCAUAUAAUUCAAUUUGCUCAAGUAAAACACCAUGAAGAAGUGCUAAACAAUCUGUUAUGCCUCCAAUUAGUUAGGUCUGACUUAUGUGAAGUUAAUGACUUACAAGUUAGUAUAUCCACAAGUGUAGGGUAUGUAACAACACCGAGUGUUAGGCCUGCCUCUAUUAUCUGAUUGUAUAAUCUGAAGGUUUCAUUUGAUCUGCCCUCUUUUGAUAGGCCAGAAAUCAUCGUUCUGAAAGUCACCACAUCCAGAACUAAACCCUUUGUAGGAAUCUCGAUGAAAAGCUUCACAGCAACAUCUACUUUUCCUGAUAUGCAUUCCCGAUGUAAUAUAAGAUGUGUAUGUAUAGACAUCUGGGACAUCAUGACAAUCCUUAAACCUUCUCUCAUCGUACCUUUCUUACAAUAACCAUCUACAGUGCAUUGUAAGUAAUUGUGUUAGGUUUAACUCCCUUAGUAUCCAUCUCAAAUCUUCUUUCAUCGUACCUUUCUUACAAUAACCAUCUUCAGGGCAUUGCAAGUAAUUGCAUUAGGCUUAAAUCCUUUAUUUUCCAUCUCAAUAAGUAUUUUUAUUGCUUUAGCAAUAUUUCCCACCUUGCAACAACCAUCUAUCAGGGCAGUGUACGUUACUAUGUUAGGCUUCACUCCCUUAGUUUCCAUCUCAAUUAGUAUCUUUAUUGCUUUAGCAAUAUUUCCCACCUUGCAACAACCAUCUAUCAGGGCAGGAUACGUUACCGUGUUAGGCUUAACUCCCUUAGGUUCCAUCUCAAUAAGUACCUUUUCAGCUUUAGCAAGAUUUCGCACCUUGCAAUAACCAUGUAUCAGGGCAGUGUACGUUACUGUGCUAGGCGUAACUCCCUUAGUUCCAAUCUCACUAAAUACCGUUUUUGCUUCAAUGAAAUUUCCCUACUUGCAAUAACCGUCUAUCAGGGAACUGGCACUGUUUGUUGUUGUGUUGGGCUUAACUCCUUCAAUUUCCAUCACCCUAAGUAUCCUUUUUGCGUCAACAAUUUUUCCCAGCUUGCAAUAACCAUCUACUAGUGUAGUGUAUGUUGUCGUGUUAGGCUUAGUUUCCAUCUCAAUAAGUGUCCUUCUUGCUUCCACAAAAUUUCCCUACUUGCAAUAAAUAUCGAUCAAAGUUGUAUAACUAAUUGUAUCUAGAGCUACACCUCGAUCCACCAUUGAGAGCAACAACAUUUUUGCUUCAUCAUACAAUUCUAGCUUAAGCAGGCCCGUAGCAAUUAUAUUGUAAGCAUUUGCAUCAGGCUGAUGUCCUUCACCCUCCAUAAUUGUCUGUAGCCUCAGUGCUUCAUCCACAUUACCUUUCUUACAGUAACCAUCCAUCAUCGUAUUAAAUAUGACCCGGUCUAUGCUAAUGCCCUUGCCUUGCAUCUCAUUUUAGCAAAACUUCAGCUCCUUGCAUUAGUCCAGCCUUGCAGAAGACAUUUAUCAAUGCUCCAUACGUGUGAACAUCAGGAAUGAGGCCUCUCUCCACCAUUUCAACAAACGUUGAAAAUGCCUUCAUAACAUUACCUAACUUACUAUAACCACUAAUCAUGGAGGUGCAUAAAUGAACAUUUGGCUCUAUACCCUCUUUUCUAUUCCUUAAACAACCUCUCAACCUCUACAAGAUCGCCAAAAGUUGAAUAUCCUUUAAUCAGAAGCGUAUAACUAGUCAGAUUGAGAUCAAACCAUCUUUCUCGAUUUUCCUCAAAAUCUCCUUUACAACCACAAAAUCUUGUAUCUUCAUAUAUGCUUGUAACAAUAUGUUAGAAGUGUAAUCACUUGGUUUCACCCUUUUACUAGCCAUUUCAUCCAUGAGUUUUCUAGCCUCACAAACCUCCCCCAUUUUACACAAUCCAUCAACUACCACCGUCAUCGAAUAAACUGUAAUUUUCACAUUAAAUUCAACCAUCUUAUGGAAAAACUCGAACAACGAGUCAUAUUGCCUUUGCCUUUUCAUAGAAAGCAAGUAAACCAUACAAGCUCUAUCAUCAAUUCUAAAGCGCCUUUUUUCAUAUAAUCAAAAACUUAUAGAGCUUCAGUAAACCUCAUGUAAUUAACAUAAACACUAAAUAACAUAUUAAACAUCUUCCCUAUAACCUUACACUUUACAUGAUUCUCAUUCAACAAAGAAGCUAUUUUUGAAUCUGGUUUCCUCAGACCAUCAGUAACAACAACAGCAUUCAAUAUAUUCUCAGCUUCAGCAAACUCCUUGGAUUUUAACAAGUCUAGAAACACGGCUAAAUGGGUUUCAAGAUUGGGACUUUGCUUGAAAUUGAAGAAAUUUGAGCAAGAAGAAGAGGAAGGGGGAAAUAGGGAGAUUAAUUUGGCAAUUUCUUUAAUUGGUCUAUUGGGAAAUCGUUGUUUUACCGGUUGAUAAACCUUUUGAGUCGACAUGUGAAUAACAACUCAAUACCUAUAAACUUGAGCAGUGCAAUUUGAAAUUUUCAUUUCUGAACUUUAGAAAUAUAGGUUACCUCUAUUUUGCCCUUGCUGGAAGAUGUUGAAAGGAGUCAAAAGAAGAAUUGUUUUCGACUGUUCAUUGCCAGUGCUACUUCGUUAGCCUCGUAGUGAGUUGCUUUAACAUUAGCUAGUUUCAUUCUUUGUUGUAUCUCCUCAAUAAUGAAAUUCAGCUUGUAGUUGGAUUGCUGGUUGUUCACAAUCAUCGGAAAUAGGAUCAAAGAGUCUGUAUCUUUGGUGAAGUUCUUCAGAUUUUU
rnacentral:lncRNA from 1 species